rnacentral:rRNA from 1 species
CGGCAAGAACAACAGGGAUUGCCUCAGUAACGGCGAGUGAAGCGGCAAAAGCUCAAAUUUGAAAUCUAGCACCUUCGGUGUUCGAGUUGUAAUUUGAAGAUGGUAACCUUGGGUUUGGCUCUUGUCUAUGUUCCUUGGAACAGGACGUCAUAGAGGGUGAGAAUCCCGUCUGAUGAGAUGCCCAUUCCUAUGUAAGGUGCUAUCGAAGAGUCGAGUUGUUUGGGAAUGCAGCUCUAAGUGGGUGGUAAAUUCCAUCUAAAGCUAAAUAUUGGCGAGAGACCGAUAGCGAACAAGUACAGUGAUGGAAAGAUGAAAAGAACUUUGAAAAGAGAGUGAAAAAGUACGUGAAAUUGUUGAAAGGGAAGGGCAUUAGAUCAGACUUGGUGUUUUACGAUUAUCUUCUCUUCUUGAGUUGUGCACUCGUAUUUCACUGGGCCAGCAUCGAUUCGGAUGGCAAGAUAAUGGCAGUUGAAUGUGGCUUCACUUCGGUGGAGUGUUAUAGCUUCUGCUGAUAUUGCCUGUCUGGAUCGAGGGCUGCGUCUUUGACUAGGAUGCCGGGCCG